GACCUGGUGGCACAGUGGUUAGUGCAUCUGCUCAAGUUAUGCCUGUCAGAAAUGAAUCUAAGCAGGAGACCCCGGUUCGAACCCGGGUCAGGUCA